rnacentral:rRNA from 1 species
AUGACUAUGAUGAAGGUUGUUCUGCUUCUGCAUAGCUGCUGGUUGUUGCCUUAUGUUUUUCCUUCCUUUUUUUGCGCAGUGUUUCAACUUUACUUUGCCCUCGGUGAGCAUCAGAUACUCGAUUGGCAUGCAGAAUUGGACUUACCUUACAGUGUCCUAAUACCUUCUGACAAGGAACCAUCCGGGUGCACCCAACGAGAUCAAAGUUGA